rnacentral:rRNA from 1 species
UACAGAGGUCUCAAGCGUUGUUCGGAUUUAUUGGGCGUAAAGGGCGCGUAGGCGGCCCUGCAAGUCAAAGGUGAAAUCCCUCGGCUCAACUGAGGAACUGCCUUUGAAACUGCAGGGCUUGAGGCCGGGAGGGGGUAGCGGAAUUCCCAGUGUAGCGGUGAAAUGCGUAGAUAUUGGGAGGAACACCAGUGGCGAAGGCGGCUACCUGGACCGGUACUGACGCUGAUGCGCGAAAGCGUGGGUAGCAAACAGG